AAGCAAACCAAAUACAUUUGUAAGGCUUCAUUUCAGCUGUGGGUUGGUUGCUGGCAUGGUUGAGGGUCGGUCGAGAGAUUUCUAACCUGUGUGAAGAUGAGUGUCUCAGAGCUGCGGCUGUCCAGACUGAGGACAAAGCGGAUGGACUGGAAGAGCUCUUGGAUGCUGGCUCUGAACUGUUCUUCCUCCAUACCACAGGUAGCACGGGAGUACAGGAUCCGAGAUUGGAUAAUGAAUUUCAACAGGACCUGAGCCCUAGGACCAUGCCUCAGGACUACCUGGUAUG